UCGAAGGUAGGCAUAAUCAGUAGUCUUUUAAUUGAAGGCUGGAAUGAAUGGUUGGAUGAAAUAUUAACUGUUUCAUUUAAAAUUAUAAUAGAAUUUUAUUUUUUAGUUAAAAAGCUAAAAUGUUAUUAAAAGACGAGAAGACCCUAUAAAUCUUUAUAAUUUAUUUUUAUUAAUUGUUUAGAUAUUUUUAUUUAUUAAAAAUUAAAUUAUUUUAUUGGGGUGAUAUUAAAAUUUAAUGAACUUUUAAAAAUUUUUAUACAUAAAUUAAUGAAUUAUUGAUCCAUUAUUAAUGAUUAAAAAUUUAAGUUACUUUAGGGAUAACAGCGUAAUUUUUUUGGAGAGUUCAUAUCGAUAAAAAAGAUUGCGACCUCGAUGUUGGAUUAA
rnacentral:rRNA from 1 species